AACGAACGCUGGCGGCAUGCCUAACACAUGCAAGUCGAACGAGACCUUCGGGUCUAGUGGCGCACGGGUGCGUAACGCGUGGGAACCUGCCCUUAGGUUCGGAAUAACUCCCCGAAAGGGGUGCUAAUACCGGAUAAUGUCUUCGGACCAAAGAUUUAUCGCCUUUGGAUGGGCCCGCGUUGGAUUAGCUAGUUGGUAGGGGAAAAGCCUACCAAGGCGACGAUCCAUAGCUGGUCUGAGAGGAUGAUCAGCCACACUGGGACUGAGACACGGCCCAGACUCCUACGGGAAGCAGCAGUGGGGAAUAUUGGACAAUGGGCGAAAGCCUGAUCCAGCAAUGCCGCGUGAGUGAUGAAGGCCUUAGGGUUGUAAAGCUCUUUUACCCGGGAUGAUAAUGACAGUACCGGGAGAAUAAGCUCCGGCUAACUCCGUG
rnacentral:rRNA from 1 species